UGCCAGCCGCCGCGGUAAUACGUAGGGCGCAAGCGUUGUCCGGAAUUAUUGGGCGUAAAGAGCUCGUAGGCGGUUUGUCGCGUCUGCUGUGAAAGCCCGGGGCUUAACCCCGGGUGUGCAGUGGGUACGGGCAGACUAGAGUGCAGUAGGGGAGACUGGAAUUCCUGGUGUAGCGGUGGAAUGCGCAGAUAUCAGGAGGAACACCGAUGGCGAAGGCAGGUCUCUGGGCUGUUACUGACACUCAUGGACGAAAGCGUGGGGAGCAAAACGGAUUAGAUA
rnacentral:rRNA from 1 species